rnacentral:rRNA from 1 species
AACGCUAGCUACAGGCUUAACACAUGCAAGUCGAGGGGCAGCAUGGUCUUAGCUUGCUAAGGCCGAUGGCGACCGGCGCACGGGUGAGUAACACGUAUCCAACCUGCCGUCUACUCUUGGACAGCCUUCUGAAAGGAAGAUUAAUACAAGAUGGUAUCAUGAGUCCACAUGUUCACAUGAUUAAAGGUAUUCCGGUAGACGAUGGGGAUGCGUUCCAUUAGAUAGUAGGCGGGGUAACGGCCCACCUAGUCUUCGAUGGAUAGGGGUUCUGAGAGGAAGGUCCCCCACAUUGGAACUGAGACACGGUCCAAACUCCUACGGGAGGCAGCAGUGAGGAAUAUUGGUCAAUGGGCGAGAGCCUGAACCAGCCAAGUAGCGUGAAGGAUGACUGCCCUAUGGGUUGUAAACUUCUUUUAUAAAGGAAUAAAGUCGGGUAUGGAUACCCGUUUGCAUGUACUUUAUGAAUAAGGAUCGGCUAACUCCGUGCCAGCAGCCGCGGUAAUACGGAGGAUCCGAGCGUUAUCCGGAUUUAUUGGGUUUAAAGGGAGCGUAGAUGGAUGUUUAAGUCAGUUGUGAAAGUUUGCGGCUCAACCGUAAAAUUGCAGUUGAUACUGGAUAUCUUGAGUGCAGUUGAGGCAGGCGGAAUUCGUGGUGUAGCGGUGAAAUGCUUAGAUAUCACGAAGAACUCCGAUUGCGAAGGCAGCCUGCUAAGCUGCAACUGACAUUGAGGCUCGAAAGUGUGGGUAUCAAACAGGAUUAGAUACCCUGGUAGUCCACACGGUAAACGAUGAAUACUCGCUGUUUGCGAUAUACAGCAAGCGGCCAAGCGAAAGCGUUAAGUAUUCCACCUGGGGAGUACGCCGGCAACGGUGAAACUCAAAGGAAUUGACGGGGGCCCGCACAAGCGGAGGAACAUGUGGUUUAAUUCGAUGAUACGCGAGGAACCUUACCCGGGCUUAAAUUGCAGAUGAAUUACGGUGAAAGCCGUAAGCCGCAAGGCAUCUGUGAAGGUGCUGCAUGGUUGUAGUCAGCUCGUGCCGUGAGGUGUCGGCUUAAGUGCCAUAACGAGCGCAACCCUUGUUGUCAGUUACUAACAGGUUCUGUUGAGGACUCUGACAAGACUGCCAUCGUAAGAUGUGAGGAAGGUGGGGAUGACGUCAAAUCAGCACGGCCCUUACGUCCGGGGCUACACACGUGUUACAAUGGGGGGUACAGAGGGCCGCUACCACGCGAGUGGAUGCCAAUCCCCAAAACCUCUCUCAGUUCGGACUGGAGUCUGCAACCCGACUCCACGAAGCUGGAUUCGCUAGUAAUCGCGCAUCAGCCACGGCGCGGUGAAUACGUUCCCGGGCCUUGUACACACCGCCCGUCAAGCCAUGGGAGCCGGGGGUACCUGAAGUGCGUAACCGCGAGGAGCGCCGUAGGGUAAAACUGGUGACUGG